CAAUUAGCUACACCUGCCUGGUUUACAGGUGAUAAUUAUCUGUAAAACAGGGUUACCCAGCCACAGACCACCAGCAAACACUAGCACUUUUGAGGCUAAACACUACAGUACAGAUACCCUCAAAAGGAUAUAAAGACAAUGUUAAAAAAUAUAAUAAAUAAAUGAGCUAAGAAAGCUAAAAAAGCUAAAAAGCAGGAAGGAAGUGCCAGUAUAGGUAUCUAGGCAACGACCAGGUGAAGAGAGAGGCAGUAGACUAAAAGCUAACCCUAAUUGACACUGCUAACUAGCUAAUUAACUACAAUGUUUUCAGCUAGCUAGAUUGCUAAUUGCACCCUCUGUUGACUGAACAUGACGCCACAAUGACCAAGAACAUUAAAAUAACUCAGGUGAAAGGACAAAAGGUGCCUGUACUGUAGUGCUCCUGUGCAGGAACAGAACAGCAUCCAGCCAGCCAGCAAAGCCAGUCAUCCAGCAAGCCAGCCGAGCAUGCUGGCGAUGCACAGUGCAUGCAACUACGGUGGUUCAAGUUCAAGGUCUGCAGCUCCACCAGCAGGUCCACGGUUUUCUGCUCAUGCACUGUACAGGCCUGUGUGUGCCACUAGGGGGCAUGAUUGCACAGUAAAAGUAAAAGACUGCAGGUACUCAAAGGGACAGCGGAAAAA
rnacentral:lncRNA from 1 species